GACGAACCGUGCGAACGUUGUUCGGAUUCACUGGGCUUAAAGGGCGCGUAGGCGGUCGACCAAGUCUGGGGUGAAAUCUUUUGGCUCAACCGGAAAAGUGCCCCCGAUACUGGCCGGCUAGAGGGAGAUAGGGGCAUGCGGAACUUCCGGUGGAGCGGUGAAAUGCGUAGAUAUCGGAAGGAACGCCGGUGGCGAAAGCGGCGUGCUGGAUCUCUUCUGACGCUGAGGCGCGAAAGCCAGGGGAGCAAACGGG
rnacentral:rRNA from 1 species